rnacentral:rRNA from 1 species
GACCUCGGAUCAAGUAGGGAUACC